ACGAACGCUGGCGGCAUGCCUAACACAUGCCAGUCGAACGAGACCUUCGGGUCUAGUGGCGCACGGGUGCGUCACGCGUGGGAACCUGCCCUUAGGUUCGGAAUAACUCCCCGAAAGGGGUGCUAAUACCGGAUAAUGUCUUCGGACCAAAGAUUUAUCGCCUUUGGAUGGGCCCGCGUUGGAUUAGCUAGUUGGUAGGGUAAAAGCCUACCAAGGCGACGAUCCAUAGCUGGUCUGAGAGGAUGAUCAGCCACACUGGGACUGAGACACGGCCCAGACUCCUACGGGAGGCAGCAGUAGGGAAUAUUGGACAAUGGGCGAAAGCCUGAUCCAGCAAUGCCGCGUGAGUGAUGAAGGCCUUAGGGUUGUAAAGCUCUUUUACCCGGGAUGAUAAUGACAGUACCGGGAGAAUAAGCUCCGGCUAACUCCGUG
rnacentral:rRNA from 1 species